UAAGUUGGUAGUGAAAGCGUGGGGCUCAACCUCAUACACAUUAUCAAAACUGCUUUGACUAGAGAAUGAGAGAGGUAGCUGGAAUUCCCUGUGUAGGAGUGAAAUCCGUAGAUAUAGGGAGGAACACCGAUGGCGUAGGCAGGCUACUGGCUCAUUUCUGACGCUCAGGCACGAAAGCGUGGGAGCGACCGGGAUUAGAUACCCCGUUAGUCCACGCCGUAAACGAUGGAUGCUA
rnacentral:rRNA from 1 species